AACCCAUGACGAGGACAUUGUCUUAAUAAAUCAUUGAAUCCGUCUCAUGAUUCAAAUAAUGAUUCUCUAUUUGCAUGAGCAAAAUUUGUGAUACAAUUUCUCAUGUG